AGUAGUUUGAUCAGUGGCUCAGGACAACGCUGGCGGCGUGCUUAACACAUGCAAGUCGAACGAAAGGCCCAGCUUGCUGGGUACUCGAGUGGCGAACGGGUGAGUAACACGUGGGUGAUCUGCCCCAAACUUCGGGAUAAGCCUGGGAAACUGGGUCUAAUACCGGAUAUGACCUGCUCCUGCAUGGGGUUGGUGGAAAGCUUUUGCGGUUUGGGAUGGGCCCGCGGCCUAUCAGCUUGUUGGUGGGGUAAUGGCCUACCAAGGCGACGACGGUAGCCGACCUGAGAGGGUGAUCGGCCACACUGGGACUGAGACACGGCCCAGACUCCUACGGGAGGCAGCAGUGGGGAAUAUUGCACAAUGGGCGCAAGCCUGAUGCAGCGACGCCGCGUGAGGGAUGACGGCCUUCGGGUUGUAAACCUCUUUCGCCAGGGACGAAGCGCAAGUGACGGUACCUGGAGAAGAAGCACCGGCCAACUACGUG
rnacentral:rRNA from 1 species